rnacentral:precursor_RNA from 11 species
UACUUACUUACCCAAUCGGUGUCAAAGUUCUCUUUGGUUAUCUAGCUGUAUGAGUGAAUUUAGAACAUCAUAAAGCUAGCAUACCGAAGUUAAUAGUUGACUACCAAUCAGCGUUGGAUGGU